rnacentral:rRNA from 1 species
AUGGGAUUUCUACUACAAGUAUUGAAUAUGUCCUUGCAAAAUGAAACUAUUUUCAUCGACAACAUGGCUUUAGCAGGUCUCUGCGCCAUUUGGCGCAACGGGUCAACUAGUUUGGAUAAAAAUCAGAGGAGAUCCUCACCUUGUUGGAUGAGCUCAUCCUUCAACAGCACCUCAAGGCCAUGGCCUGAGAGGAGGGGAGGGGGAAUAAGGUGCCUUCUGCCGCAGUGUGGCAUCAGCCGUAGUUGUGCAGCGCCCGCCGGAGUAGUGCGUUGGACGAACCACAGUGGAGCAGCUGCUGGACACCAUGAGAAUGAGGGGUGGUGCCAGAGGGAGGAGCAGCCAGGGAGAUUUGCCCCUACCCGCUGGCCAUGUAGCCUACCUAGACAUAGCAUCAUUGAGGACCAGGUCAGAUGGGACCAAUGGCGACGGCUCGCUGGAGGAACCCUAGUGCUGCAGGCAGGGGAUCGAGGUAGAGGGAAAGGGGAGAGGAUAUGCAAGUGGGCAGGAAAUGAAUGCUUGCAUGUUUGUUUUUACUUGAGGGUCAGGUGUGACACGAGCAUCUGCAGUUGCAUUUUGAGUGUAAUAUAG